rnacentral:rRNA from 2 species
AGCAGCCGCGGUAAUUCCAGCUCCAAUAGCGUAUAUUAAAGUUGUUGCAGUUAAAAAGCUCGUAGUUGAAUUUCGGGAUUAGUACGCUGGUCGUGCCUUUGGUAUGUACUGGUGUUACUGAUUCCUACCUUCUGACGAACCGUCAUGUCAUUAAUUUGGUGUGGCGGGGAAUCAGGACUGUUACUUUGAAAAAAUUAGAGUGUUUAAAGCAGGCUCGCGCUUGAAUACAUUAGCAUGGAAUAAUGAAAUAGGACGUUCGAUCCUAUUUUGUUGGUUUCUAGGAUUGACGUAAUGAUUAAUAGGGAUAGUUGGGGGCAUUAGUAUUCAAUUGUCAGAGGUGAAAUUCUUGGAUUUAUUGAAGACUAACUACUGCGAAAGCAUUUGCCAAGGAUGUUUUCAUUAAUCAAGAACGAAAGUUAGGGGAUCGAAGACGAUCAGAUACCGUCGUAG